AUAAGGCAUUCGAGCUAUUUCUUGGGGGAACAGCUCCCCCUUCGUGGGGCUCCAUUUACCCUCGCCCUCCUCAGCCACCAACUGCCAAGCCAAGGGAGGUCUGGGCAUGAAAGGACAGACCCUGUUCAGGGAAGGAAGGGGGUGCCCCUACUCCUGCCUAAGGGGCCCCCUUGCCAUCAGAAAACAGUAGUAUUUGCAUGAAGGACACAGGAGCCCAGAUGCCCAGGACAGGGAGCUCAGAGUAGAGAUACAGAAGAAAGAAGAGAGGGAGGAGGCAAGGGGGAAGUAAGGGGGGGUGAGGAAGGAAGCCGCACUCUGGGCUUCCAGGACAGCAGAUAGCCACCCACCACAGGACAGACUUUUGUCUCUGCCACUCCUCCCGGAAGCUUCUUGGUCCACUUCAGGGCAACUAAGUUGUCCUAGGGCCUCAAGCUCAGUGCUACCUAGUCAGCAACUAGAUUCUACUUUGGCCUUAGGUUCCUCUGGGACUCUGGGAAGCAGCUGCUUGGGGAGGCGCCCUCGGGUGCUAAGACUACCUACUGAUUCCUGUGGUCCAGCCCAGAGAUGCAGGGAAUCCGCUCGUGCUUGCUCCUUCAACCCCACUGCUGCAUUUCUGUGGCCUGGGACUUGAGGGGACCUAGUCUGCCUGAGGCCAGAGUUCAGCCUUAAGGAGCAGGAAGCUGAGCUCCUUCAGCAGGCUGGCCACUUCCCCUUUCUGAGGAAGAGACACCCCAGUGGAGCAGCUUUCUAUGUCCUACCAGAGGCCAUAUGCCUGCAGAUGUCCCCAGCUGGGAGACUAUCUCAUACCAUAUUCUGAGAGGAGGCAAUCUCCUAAUAGUACCAGAGACACCUAGAUCACAAGCCCGGUGGGUGACAGAGGCCUGGAAGUACCAUGGCCCCUCUCAUUAGUUUCCAGGAUGGAGUCUCUGUCCUCGUGAGCAAGAGAACUUGUAUUCCUUUCUCUUUUCAGACUCUGAUUCUUGGAACUUACACCCUCUUGGGUUUGCUAUUUUUACCCACCCUGAGCCUUCCGGUCUCCAUGGCGACGCCUCCAAACAGCAGAUUCCAGGCGGCAAUGACGUCACCUUUCCCUUUCCUGCCGCCCAGGCCUCUAGGCGCUGCUGCUUGGGGCCCAGGGGCUGCAAGGCUUCCCUGGGCCCCGUUCUGUGCCCCCACAGAGCAGCCCCAAGCCAAGACUCCAAGGAAGAGAAAGAACAUCAUGUCUUACUAUGGCUCAGACAUUUACUGAAGGAACUGAGACAGUUUUCCUGUGCCUGGGGGCUGCGGAUGUGUAGGUGAGGACUGGCCUACCGUGAAGCGAUGGUUUCUUCCCCAGCACCUUGUAAAGCGGGUUUGGUGGCAUGAGCCUAUAAUCCCAGCUCUCAGGAGGUAGAGACAGGAAGAUCAGAAGCUCAAAAUUGUCUUUGGCUUUAUAGUGAAUUUGAAGCCAGUCUGAGCUACACAAUACCCUCUCUCAAAAAGUAAAUAAAAAGAAUGGACAGUCCGAGAGUUCUGCGUCCCUCUCUGUACCCAGAGGGGCUUUGUCAAUCCAAGAGCCCCACUCACUCUAGACGUGUUUCCUACCACCUCCCCUGAGGACCCCCAAAAGGCUCGCUUGCUCUCUCCUGCAGCCCUCAUGGUUCUGACUGACCCCUGAUCUAUCCUUACCACCAAAAUCAGGGUUAGGAAACUAGAAAAGUAGCCAACACAGCUGUAAGA